rnacentral:rRNA from 1 species
UUGAACGCUGGCGGCAGGCCUAACACAUGCAAGUCGAGCGCGAAAGGUUUUCGGACUGAGUAAAGCGGCGGACGGGUGAGUAACGCGUGGGAAUCUGCCCAGUAGUGGGGGACAACAGUCGGAAACGACUGCUAAUACCGCAUACGCCCUACGGGGGAAAGGGGGGGAUCUUCGGACCUCUCGCUAUUGGAUGAGCCCGCGUCGGAUUAGCUAGUUGGUAGGGUAAAGGCCUACCAAGGCUACGAUCCGUAACUGGUCUGAGAGGAUGAUCAGUCACACUGGAAAUGAGACACGGUCCAGACUCCUACGGGAGGCAGCAGUGGGGAAUAUUGGACAAUGGGGGCAACCCUGAUCCAGCCAUGCCGCGUGUGUGAAGAAGGCCUUAGGGUUGUAAAGCACUUUCAGUGGGGAGAAAGGUUUGUCACCUAAUACGUGAUGAAAUUGAUGUUACCCACAGAAGAAGCACCGGCUAACUCCGUGCCAGCAGCCGCCGUAA